rnacentral:rRNA from 1 species
AACGAACGCUGGCGGCAUGCCUAACACAUGCAAGUCGAACGAGACCUUCGGGUCUAGUGGCGCACGGGUGCGUAACGCAUGGGAACCUGCCUUUAGGUUUCGGAAUAACAGUGAGAAAUUACUGCUAAUACCGAAUAAUGUCUUCGGACCAAAGAUUUAUCGCCUUUAGAUGGGCCCGCGUUGGAUUAGCUAGUUGGUGGGGUAAAGGCCUACCAAGGCGACGAUCCAUAGCUGGUCUGAGAGGAUGAUCAGCCACACUGGGACUGAGACACGGCCCAGACUCCUACGGGAGGCAGCAGUGGGGAAUAUUGGACAAUGGGCGAAAGCCUGAUCCAGCAAUGCCGCGUGAGUGAUGAA